CACGUAGGCGGACUGGAAAGUUGGAGGUGAAAUCCCAGGGCUCAACCUUGGAACUGCCUUCAAAACUAUCAGUCUGGAGUUCGAGAGAGGUGAGUGGAAUUCCGAGUGUAGAGGUGAAAUUCGUAGGUAUUCGGAGGAACACCAGUGGCGAAGGCGGCUCACUGGCUCGAUACUGACGCUGAGGUGCGAAAGCGUGGGGAGCAAACA
rnacentral:rRNA from 1 species